rnacentral:rRNA from 1 species
GGGCGUAAAGCGCGCGUAGGCGGUCUGAUAAGCCGGUUGUGAAAGCCCCCGGGCUCAACCYUGGRAACGGCAUCCGGAAACUGUCAGGCUAGAGUGCAGGAGAGGAAGGUAGAAUUCCCGGUGUAGCGGUGAAAUGCGUAGAGAUCGGGAGGAAUACCAGUGGCGAAGGCGGCCUUCUGGACUGACACUGACGCUGAGGUGCGAAAGCGUGGGUAGCAAACAGGAUUAGAUACCCUGGUAGUCCACGCCGUAAACGAUGUCGACUAGCCGUUGGGGUCCUUGAGACCUUUGUGGCGCAGUUAACGCGAUAAGUCGACCGCCUGGGGAGUACGGCCGCAAGGUUAAAACUCAAAUGAAUUGACGGGGGCCCGCACAAGCGGUGGAGCAUGUGGUUUAAUUCGAUGCAACGCGAAGAACCUUACCUACCCUUGACAUCGAGAGAACUUGGCAGAGAUGCCUUGGUGCCUUCGGGAACUCUCAGACAGGUGCUGCAUGGCUGUCGUCAGCUCGUGUUGUGAAAUGUUGGGUUAAGUCCCGUAACGAGCGCAACCCUUGUCCUUAUUUGCCAGCGCGUAAUGGCGGGAACUCUAAGGAGACUGCCGGUGACAAACCGGAGGAAGGUGGGGACGACGUCAAGUCAUCAUGGCCCUUACGGGUAGGGCUACACACGUGCUACAAUGGACGGUACAAAGGGUUGCAAAGCCGCGAGGUGGAGCUAAUCCCAUAAAGCUGUUCUCAGUCCGGAUCGGAGUCUGCAACUCGACUCCGUGAAGUCGGAAUCGCUAGUAAUCGUGAAUCAGAAUGUCACGGUGAAUACGUUCCCGGGCCUUGUACACACCGCCCGUCACACCAUGGGAGUGGACUGCACCAGAAGUGGUUAGCCUAACUUCGGAGGGCGAUCACCACGGUGUGGUUCAUGACUGGGGUGAAGUCGUAACAAGWGCUGCAC